rnacentral:lncRNA from 1 species
ACGGUAAUAGAUGUUUGUUUCGGGCUUUACUGCCUUUUGAAUUCUUGUCUCCUCAGCAAUAAAAUUCUCGCUCACAAAAAAGAAGAAGAUUCCUUGGAGUUUAUUUUUCUUUCUUUCCACAGCGAGCAAAGUCACAGGCAUGUGCCCCACAACGUUUCAGGAGAGUUCUAUUGGGAUUUUUUUUCCCGGGUAACAUCCUUUUUUCCAGCCUUUUUCUUAACAUCCACAUCUUUUUUCCAGUCGGUAUCGCUGAGUGAGCUACACUGACGUCCCUGUCCAGUUCGGAGAUCAUGAUGGCAAUGGGACGGGUCUGGAUGAGCGGAUCAAAUCCACAUCCAUCUCCAAGUUCAUUAUCCAUUCAUUAGAGUAUUCGUAGAUCCAAAACAAUAUCCAUAUCAUCCACCGGUUAUCCGGGCAUCCGUGAUCAUUCAUUAUCAAAAUAAAAUGGCUUAAAAAUAGCCAUAAGACCAUAUCCAUAUAAAGACCGAUAUAAAGACUCUAAAAUAUGCGGUUUAUGCCGUGGAUCUAGAACGGUUACAAUAGCCAUAAGAUCAUAAACAUUUGUCCA